rnacentral:misc_RNA from 1 species
GAAAUGCGAUAAGUAGUGUGAAUUGCAGAAUUCAGUGAAUCAUCGAAUCUUUGAACGCACAUUGCGCCCUUUGGUAUUCCAAAGGGCAUGCCUGUUCGAGCAUCAUUUGUACCCUCAAGCUUUGCUUGGUGUUGGGCGUCUUGUCUCUAGCUUUGCUGGAGACUCGCCUUAAAGUAAUUGGCAGCCGGCCUACUGGUUUCGGAGCGCAGCACAAGUCGCACUCUCUAUCAGCAAAGGUCUAGCAUCCAUUAAGCCUUUUUUCAACUUUUGACCUCGGAUCAGGUAGGGAUACCCGCUGAACUUAAGC